ensembl:ncRNA F46B6.17 ncRNA
AUUAUCCACGCAAAAGGUUGCGUCGUCGUUGUUGUCAAAAAUCAUCGUCCUCCUCCAUGGUUCUUUGGGCAGAGUGGGCGGAGCUGUAGGUUGUUGGUUGGAGGACGACAACGAUUGAGGAUUAUAAUCAAAUCUUCGUGUCCACUACGAAGUGCGUCAUAAAGCGGCCGAGAGCAGCUUAUGUCCAUA